CCUGCCCCUAGAGGCAUUGCAGGUGUGGCUGCUGUGUCCCAAGUACGUUAGUAGGUGGCAGAGAGGAGAGAGGCUGUGUCUAGGCUCAGCGUUCUGACCUGUGAACCUCUGAACGAUUAGUAGUAGCCUAACACU